CAGCUGGAAACGGCUGCUAUACCCCAUAUGCUGAGGAGUGAAAUGGUGUAACAACCGCCUAAAGAUGGGCUUGCGUCUGAUUAGCUUGUUGGUAAGGUAAAGGCUUACCAAGGCAACGAUCAGUAGCUGGUCUGAGAGGAUGAUCAGCCACACUGGGACUGAGACACGGCCCAGACUCCUACGGGAGGCAGCAGUGAGGAAUUUUCCGCAAUGGGCGAAAGCCUGACGGAGCAAUGCCGCGUGGAGGAUGAAGGCCCGUGGGUCGUAAACUCCUUUUCUCAGAGAAGAAUUUCUGACGGUAUCUGAGGAAUAAGCAUCGGCUAACUCUGUGCCAGCAGCCGCGGUAAUACAGAGGAUGCAAGCGUUAUCCGGAAUGAUUGGGCGUAAAGCGUUUGUAGGUGGUUUAUUAAGUCUUCUGUCAAAGCUCAGGGCUUAACCCUGUUUAGGCAGUAGAAACUAAUAGGCUAGAGUACGGUAGGGGCAGAGGGAAUUCCCGGUGUAGCGGUGAAAUGCGCAGAUAUCGGGAAGAACACCGAUGGCGAAAGCACUCUGCUGGGCCGAAACUGACACUGAGAGACG
rnacentral:rRNA from 1 species